rnacentral:rRNA from 1 species
ACUAGGAAUUUUGCGCAAUGGGGGCAACCCUGACGCAGCGACACAGCGUGGAGGAGGAAGGUCUUCGGAUUGUAAACUCCUUUUAUAUGGGAAGAAUAGAUGACUGUACCAUAUGAAUAAGCACCUGCUAACUACGUGCCAGAAGCAUCGGUGAUGCGUAGGGUGCGAACGUUAUCCGGAUUUAUUGGGCGUAAAGAGAUGCGUAGGCGUUUCAGUUAGUCUUUCGGUAAAAGUCACGGCUUAACCGUGAAGAUGCGUUGGAUACUGCUGAAAUUGAGACAUGAAGGGGUGAACGGAACUCCAAGUGGAGCGGUGAAAUGCGUUGAUAUUUGGAAGAACAUCAGAGGCGAAGGCGGUUCACUGGUCAUUGUCUGACGCUAAGGCUCGAAAGCGUGGGUAGCAAAACGGAUUAGAUACCCGUGUAGUCC